GCAGCCAGGAGGACAAAGCAGGCACGUCGCUCCUGCCACUGACCUGACUGGAGGGAGGAGAACUGUGGCAUGGAAAAUAGCUUUGGUGCAUUUAUUUCAGCGCUUUCUCUGAACAUUUAUUUCCUGUAAUCUGAGUUCAUGCUGGGCUUUCUAUUGUCUUUUUAAGCUUUAGUGUGGAUGAGAUAAAACAAAAUUCCUGGAGGGGAACCUUGGCCUCAUGGACAAAGGCAGCAGGCAUCUGCUGCCACAGCUCUUUCCAAGAUUGAAAAGUUUGAGGUAAAAGAAAAAAGCAGAAGUGGAAGCUGCCAUUCUGCUAGAAUAAGUGAGAGAAUGUUCACCAUUUAUUUAUUCCAAUAAGCAGGGUAACUCCUCAGUGCUGUCCAGAUCAAACACAGUUCAGAGGUAUUUCAAUGCCUUC
rnacentral:lncRNA from 1 species